rnacentral:rRNA from 1 species
UACGUAGGUGGCAAGCGUUGUCCGGAUUUACUGGGCGUAAAGAGCGCGCAGGCGGUCGGUCAAGUCGCGUGUGAAAGCCCCCGGCUCAACUGGGGAGGGUCACGCGAUACUGAUCGACUCGAAGGCAGGAGAGGGUAGUGGAAUUCCCGGUGUAGUGGUGAAAUGCGUAGAUAUCGGGAGGAACACCAGUGGCGAAGGCGACUACCUGGCCUGUUUCUUGACGCUGAGGCGCGAAAGCUAGGGGAGCAAACGGG